GGGGGCGAAUGGCUUCGACCGGAUCGCGGAUGGAGAAGCUGCGUGCCCAGGACGCCGGUUGGCCUGGUUAAUCAUCCGGUACCUAAUUCUAAUUGGCAACUACCAGUAUGCCAUGGCGGCGUAAUUAACGCUGCCCGUCCUGUCGGACUGCGCCUGCGGGUCUGAUAAGGGCGUCAACUAGUGGGCUGGCUUCUGUCGGUCGUCCGGGCCGACGGGGGCGAGACGCACCGGAAUAGCCGAGCGUAGAGCCUGUCGUUUGGCGCUUCGCGAGGCGAAAUCUCAAUGGAACGACUAUGCACGUAGAUGCGGCUCUUGAAACAUCUCGGGACGGGGGUUCGAAUCCCCCCGCCUCCAUUC
rnacentral:tmRNA from 1 species